rnacentral:rRNA from 1 species
GACGAACGCUGGCGGCGUGCUUAACACAUGCAAGUCGUACGGUAAGGCCCUUUCGGGGGUACACGAGUGGCGAACGGGUGAGUAACACGUGAGUAACCUGCCCACAACUUUGGGAUAACGCUAGGAAACUGGUGCUAAUACUGGAUAUGUGCUCCUGCUGCAUGGUGGGGGUUGGAAAGCUCCGGCGGUUGUGGAUGGACUCGCGGCCUAUCAGCUUGUUGGUGGGGUAGUGGCCUACCAAGGCGGCGACGGGUAGCCGGCCUGAGAGGGUGACCGGCCACAUUGGGACUGAGAUACGGCCCAGACUCCUACGGGAGGCUGCAGUGGGGAAUAUUGCACAAUGGGCGCAAGCCUGAUGCAGCAACGCCGCGUGCGGGAUGACGGCCUUCGGGUUGUAAACCGCUUUCAGCAGGGACGAAGCUUUUUGUGACGGUACCUGCAGAAGAAGCACCGGCUAACUACGUG